rnacentral:rRNA from 1 species
GAUCAUGGCUCAGGAUGAACGCUAGCGGCAGGCUUAACACAUGCAAGUCGAGGGGCAGCGGGGUGUAGCAAUACACUGCCGGCGACCGGCGCACGGGUGCGUAACGCGUAUGCAACCUACCCAUAACAGGGGCAUAACACUGAGAAAUUGGUACUAAUUCCCCAUAACAUUCGAAGAGGCAUCUCUUUGGGUUGAAAACUCCGGUGGUUAUGGAUGGGCAUGCGUUGUUAUUAGUCUAGUUGGG